UGACAGUACUCCUACGGGAGCAGCAGUGGGGAAUAUUGCACAAUGGGCGCAAGCCUGAUGCAGCAACGCCGUGUGAGUGAAGAAGGUUUUCGGAUCGUAAAACUCUGUCCUAAGGGAAGAAACAAAUGACGGUACCUUAGGAGGAAGCCCCGGCUAACUACGUGCCAGCAGCCGCGGUAAUACGUAGGGGGCAAGCGUUAUCCGGAAUCACUGGGCGUAAAGGGUGCGUAGGCGGCUUAGCAAGCCAGGGGUGAAAGGCAUUGGCUCAACCAAUGUAAGCCUUUGGAACUGUUAAGCUUGAGUGCAGGAGAGGUAAGUGGAAUUCCUAGUGUAGAGGUGAAAUUCGUAGAUAUUAGGAGGAACACCAGUGGCGAAGGCGACUUACUGGACUGUAACUGACGCUGAUGCACGAAAGCGUGGGUAGCGAACAGGAUUAGAUACCCUGGUAG
rnacentral:rRNA from 1 species